AGUGAACGCUGGCGGUAGGCCUAACACAUGCAAGUCGAACGGCAGCACAGGAGAGCUUGCUCUCUGGGUGGCGAGUGGCGGACGGGUGAGGAAUACAUCGGAAUCUACUCUGUCGUGGGGGAUAACGUAGGGAAACUUACGCUAAUACCGCAUACGACCUACGGGUGAAAGCAGGGGAUCUUCGGACCUUGCGCGAUUGAAUGAGCCGAUGUCGGAUUAGCUAGUUGGCGGGGUAAAGGCCCACCAAGGCGACGAUCCGUAGCUGGUCUGAGAGGAUGAUCAGCCACACUGGAACUUAGACACGGUCCAGACUCCUACGGGAGGCAGCAGUAGGGAAUAUUGGGCAAUGGGCGCGAGCCUGACCCAGCCAUGCCGCGUGACGGAUGAAGGCCUUCUGGGUUGUAAACGUCUUUUGCCCGGGAAGAAGCGUUGUGUGUUAAUAGUACACAGCGUUGACGUUACCUACAGAAGAAGCACCGGCUAACUCUGUGCCAGCAGCCGCAGUAACAC
rnacentral:rRNA from 1 species